AUUGAACGCUGGCGGAAUGCUUUACACAUGCAAGUCGAACGGUAGAGGGGGCAACCCCUCGAGAGUGGCGAACGGGUGAGUAAUAUAUCGGAACGUGCCCAGUCGUGGGGGAUAACGUAGCGAAAGUUACGCUAAUACCGCAUACGAUCUAAGGAUGAAAGCGGGGGAUCGCAAGACCUCGCGCGAUUGGAGCGGCCGACACCAGAUUAGGUAGUUGGUGGGGUAAAGGCUCACCAAGCCAACGAUCUGUAGCUGGUCUGAGAGGACGACCAGCCACACUGGAACUGAGACACGGUCCAGACUCCUACGGGAGGCAGCAGUGGGGAAUUUUGGACAAUGGACGCAAGUCUGAUCCAGCCAUUCCGCGUGCAGGAUGAAGGCCCUCGGGUUGUAAACUGCUUUUGUACGGAACGAAAAGGUCUCUCUUAAUACGGGGGGCUCAUGACGGUACCGUGAGAAUAAGCACCGGCUAACUACGUGCCAGCAGCCGCCGCAG
rnacentral:rRNA from 1 species